rnacentral:rRNA from 1 species
AUUGAACGCUGGCGGCAGGCCUAACACAUGCAAGUCGAGCGGAUGAAGGGAGCUUGCUCCUGGAUUCAGCGGCGGACGGGUGAGUAAUGCCUAGGAAUCUGCCUGGUAGUGGGGGAUAACGUCCGGAAACGGGCGCUAAUACCGCAUACGUCCUGAGGGUGAAAGUGGGGGAUCUUCGGACCUCACGCUAUCUGAUGAGCCUAGGUCGGAUUAGCUAGUUGGUGGGGUAAAGGCCUACCAAGGCGACGAUCCGUAACUGGUCUGAGAGGAUGAUCAGUCACACUGGAACUGAGACACGGUCCAGACUCCUACGGGAGGCAGCAGUGGGGAAUAUUGGACAAUGGGCGAAAGCCUGAUCCAGCCAUGCCGCGUGUGUGAAGAAGGUCUUCGGAUUGUAAAGCACUUUAAGUUGGGAGGAAGGGCAGUAAGUUAAUACCUUGCUGUUUUGACGUUACCAACAGAAUAAGCACCGGCUAACUUCGUG